GUGCUCCAUGCUGGUGAGUUCUGUUGCAAAAAAAACCCCUCUCUCUGUGUGUACAGACAGACACACACAGACACACACACACACACACAGAGAGAGAGAGAGAGAGAGGGAGAGGGAGAGAGAGAGAGAGAGAGAUAGGAUAUGCUAAAGUCUCAUUGGCAGAUAUUUUAAAUGAUUAAAAGUAAAGCAACCAUGCAUUGGAUUCCUUUUUGGUGAUAUGAUAGAUAGAUAGAUAGAUAGAUAGAUAGAUAGAUAGAUGAUGUAACAGUUUUAUUGGGAAGCAUGACUAUUCCACAAUUACAUUGGAAAUAGGGAGGAACAGGCCAAAUGAAAUUUUCCCAAAUAAUGAUGAAUAUGGAAAUAGACACGGUCAAAACAAAAAUGAUACUCAUUAUGUGACUGUAUUCAAUGUGCAUGAUUAAAAAAAUAAUAAGAAAUAAAUCACAGUCACAGGGGCUGAGGAAUGAGGGACUGCUGAACUGGAGAGGUAAAGCUUAAUUCUCUUCCCUGCCAUGGUCCCAGUGAAAUGCCUCCCAUGCCCCAAUAGUUUAUCUCUUGAGACAAAUAGUAUCUUUUGUGUGGGUGUGAUUGUUAUCAGGGUCAUGGCAAGGGGUUCCUCCCCACCGUCUGCAGCUCAACUCUCCCUGUGACUGCUAUUUACUUCUUAAAAAGAUUGCGCAGUUAACUCCAUGGAAUCAAUGCUGCAUCUGUUUUGACCCACAGUGACUUUGUCAUUGUAUAUUGAGUGACUGCCACCUCUGCAAGUGGGCCAGUGUGGUGUAACAGUGUGCUGGACUAGGUUCUGGGAGUAAGGUAAAGGUAAAGGUACCCCUGCCCGUAUGGGCCAGUCGUGUCUGACUCUAGGGUUGUGUGCCCAUCUCACUUAAGAGGCCGGGGGCCAGCACUGUCCGGAGACACUUCCGGGUCACGUGGCCAGUGUGACGAAGCUGCUCUGGUGAGCCGGCACCAGAGCAGCACACGGAAACGCCGUUUACCUUCCCGCUAUAAAGCGGUACCUAUUUAUCUACUUGCACUUAGGGGUGCUUUCGAACUGCUAGGUGGGCAGGAGCUGGGACCGAAAGGCGGGAGCUCACCCCGCCGCGGGGAUUCGAACCGCCGACCAUGCGAUCGGCAAGCCCUAGGCGCUGAGGUUUUACCCACAGCGCCACCUGCGUCCCUAGGUUCUGGGAGACUGGGGCUCAAAUUCCUACUCAGCCAUGAGGCUUACGGGGUGACUUCAGGCCAGCCCCAGCCUCUCACCCAACCUACCUCACAGGGUUGUGACAAAGAUAUAAGUGGAGAGGAAGGGAACUGUGUAUGCCACCUUGAGCUCCACGGAGGAAAGAAGAGAGAUAUGUGAAAAUAAACAAAUAUUAGGGAAGCCAAAUGAUGGAAAUGACUGAGGCUGGGUGUGUGUGUGUCAGUGUGGCUUAUAAUUCACAUGGUUGUUCUCCUACACAAAUCCCAUGAAAACGAAUCCAGUCACUCAGGAGAACUUCCCAGUAGAUAGUAGCCCUGAAAUGUGAACGCUAAAGAAAGGAAAGAGCCCGGCGUUUUCACUAGCUACAGUCUCACCAUCAGUUCCCCUUCUGUUUGUUUGGGGAAAAUCCUGGAGUUUAAUCAGAAUUAUUUACAAGAUAAUGGCCCAUUGUUUGUACUAAGACAGAUGCCGUCUGUGGGAAUUUGGUGUUUUAUGCUUCCUGCAUUGCGUUGCCAUUGCCUCUGCAGAUGGGAUCACAGUGGUACUGGUGUAAUCUCUUUUUAAAAGAAAUUUAGAGGAGACUUUCAAAAGGGUUUGGGGUUGGGGGAAUCGUAAACAGGGAAGCAGAGCAUUUAUAUGUGUGUAUCUGUUUGUGUGUGUUUUCAUAUCUAGAAAUGCUUCAAUUAUGCAAGGAUCGAGGUUUUAGGGCCUUGAGCAAGUGAGAAACAUAAGGGGCCACAGUCUACCAUAAAUAUAUAAGAAAGAAAAGAUACAAGGGAUGGGGUCAGUGCAUUUAAUUUCCCAAAGAAUGUGGCAACAAAAUCUCGUAUUUGAACCUUGAUUUUGAUAUUUUAAUCUUUUGAUUAUCCCCAUACACUUUAUUAUACACACAUUUGCAAAUACUCAGACCUGGAAAAUUUUAGGGUUGCCAUUUGUAGAGAAUUUCCUGGACAUACCUGGAAUACUGCUUUUCUGAAGCAGUGUCCAGGCGGAAAAUCAGCAGUGCUGUUUUGGGUGUAUUUACUUUAAAAAAGCUCAAAAAUGAUUUUGCUCAAAAUGCUCCACAACUUUGGGCAAAACUAAGAAAAGCUCAACUACUUUUUUGUCCAGAUUUUCACUUACUGAAAUAUGGCAACCCUACUGGAGAUGCUUUUGAAAACUUUCACCACCACAAAACGACUCAGUGGUUUAAACCAGCUUUUUCUUUCAGAUUUAAAUCACCUUGAUUUCUUAUCUGAUAUCUUGAUCUGAUAUCUUUUUCUGGCAGCAGUGGAUCAUAACAGAAUGUUUUCUAAUCCAACACUUCUACAGACUCUGAUCUAUAAAGAGGCAUCAUACUUUGGAUGCAUCAUAGUCAAACAGCCUCAGAUCCAGCAAAGAUGGAGCAAAGGAUGGCAAAUUCUACAGCGGUGUCUGGCUAUCCUCAUUGUUAGCCUUCAACCUUUCUUUUGGAACUGCUACAAAAGGGGGGGGAGGAUUAACUCCUUCCUAUGCUCCUUCAUGGUGGCAUCCCCUUCCCUGCUGCUGUAACUGGUCCCAGUGAACGUAGGAAGCUGACUCCUAGGUCCACCUAGCUCAGUCCCGUCUACACAGAUGGGCAGUAACCCUCCUGGCUUUCUUCCAACCCAACCUGGAGAUGCCCGCACAAACCAAGAUCUUUCUUAUUGAUCUGAUAUUCUGUAUGUUACAUAUAUUAUAUUCAGUGUUUAUGGCACUUAAAAGAAGACAGUCCUUGCCCCGAGCAACUUACAAUAUAGAAAUAUAAUACAGAGGUAGAAGAGGCAAAGUAGACUGGAAACCUUCUGCAUGCAAAGCCAAUGCUCUACCACUGAGCUAUGGCAGUUCCAACAGUGCCACCGCUUGGGGGAGGGAGGCACAGUGGUGAGACCCCAAUCCAGAUCCUGCAAACAUCUCCCAGGCAUUGGUUUGACCUGCAGCCAGGACAGCAGUCCUUGGACAUAGCUCCCUUUUGUGUGUUUUCUGGAACAACUGAAGCCCAUUCAGUCUGAUGGAGAAACUAUACCAGUUGAUUUCUCAAACCUUCAGCUGUGCCUACUUUCCUGACCUAAACAUCUUGUCGCAGCAAUUUACUUCAACUUUCCCCCCCUAAUUAGAUGAACUGAAGUGGUGGAAUAUUACAACUUGAAACAUUUCUGAUUUGCAGAACGCAGAGGUCUGUCUUUUCUCCCUCUGUUUUCCAUGCACAAGUGUUUGCUCAGUGCCUGCUUAUUUGCAAUUUCUGUGUUGUUCAUAGGACUGUGGCCUUUUCCCCUUUCAUGCCAAUGGUUUUAUAUUUGACUUAGCGGUGCAGGCUAAGGGAAGUUGUGGGUGCGUGGCGAUGUCAAAGGCUGCCGCUUGAAUGAUAAUUAAUAACAUUAUGGGACUGAUUAUGUGUUUAGUAGUUCUGGAAUCAGCAUGAACUGAACUUGUUAAAUUCAAUUCCAGUGCCAACGAUAUCUGACCAUUUUUAGUAGACAAAAGUAGGAAAUGUGCAAGGCUUUUCUAGAAGGAAAAGAGGUGGAGGGAAUCAAUCUUGUGCUAUUUGAAAGGGCAACGGCUAAUGAGAAUUGGUGGAAUGUAUAGCUUCUGAAUUUUCAGAGAGGUUUGGUUGUCGUAUCAGUCGCAGAGUUUCAGAAGAAAACAUAGAUUGGUUGUGCGAUAAUAUUUAUAGACCUUAGUCCUAUUGUGUCAGCCUCUGCCUGAAACACUGAGUCAUUUGAGAUGGGAGAUUAUGCCUUUCCAGGUCCUGAAAAAUCAUUUCACAUGUGACCAAUUACUUCUGUCAGGGAAGGGAGAAUAAAGUCCCACCUCUGUGGGUGGGAUUCUUAACUCCCACAUCCAGAGGUCAAUAACAGGGUUCUUAGACCUUUGCGCUCGUCACUCCCUUACAGCCAGACCUUUUCUGUUAAAACUGUUUAAAUUACAGGCCAACAAUAAAAAAAAGAUCAUGUGUGUUUCCCAUUGAACAGGUUCUUUAAGGCUAUUAUGAUAAUUAAAAACAUAUGGAGCCUGCACGAGUCAGAGGGGAAACCACAGAUGUACAAAUUAGGUAUUAUAUAAGCUUUUGCUUUUUGUGCCCUUUUGAAAACAUCAAGCCACCAAAGUUUAAAAGAGACAGGGCUGGUUCUCUCCGUCUCUCCCCCCUCCAAAAAAACCCCUUGCUUUUUGGGGUUUCGUAGGUAGUGUUCAGUUACCAGCAUCAUUAAAUAUGCAUACCUCUUUUCUUAUACAUAAUCAGAGCAAGCAAACUCUCAUGCAUGGAAACGGGUGAGGGGGCCGCAUCUCAAACAGCACAGGGGUUGCAGUAUUUAUGGAGGGAGAUGAAAACACUUUGUUUCCUACAAGUUUAUUGGAGACCAUGAAACCUUUUGCAUUUUUUAUGAUGUUUCCCUACAAAGACACAGAGGAUUCUAUUUAUUAAAUAUUGAAUUAUAUUGAAAUUGGAGUGAUGCAGCCAAAGAAGAAUAUUUCUUGGUGUUCUAUUUUUUUUUUUAAUUCCCCCCUCCCACACAACCCAGUUUUAAAGUGCCAUUGCAUACUCAUAUUGAUUACAGUGCAAAUAGUCAUUUGUUUUAAUUUAAAAAUGCAGAAUUGAUUUUGGGAAGGUGAUAAAUACGAC
rnacentral:lncRNA from 1 species